AUUGAACGCUGGCGGCAGGCUUAAUACAUGCAAGUCAAGGGGGUAGCAAUACAACCGGCGCACGGGGUGAGUAACGCGUACACAACAUACCAUAUACUGGGGUAUAGCUUUGGGAAACUGAAGGUAAUCCCCAUAACAUUGCGAGAGGGCAUCUGAUUGCAAUUAAAGUUUCGGCGGUAUAUGAUUGGUGUGCGUUUGAUUAGCUAGUUGGUAGGGUAACGGCCUACCAAGGCGACGAUCAAUAGCUGGCGUGAGAGCGCGACCAGCCACACUGGAACUGAGACACGGUCCAGACUCCUACGGGAGGCAGCAGUAGGGAAUAUUGGACAAUGGAGGAAACUCUGAUCCAGCCAUGCCGCGUGAUAGAUGAAGGCCCUCUGGGUUGUAAAUAAUCUUUUAAUCUUGGGACGAAAAAAAGGGGCUUUCUAGCUCACUUGACGGUACCAGAGGAAUAAGGCACCGGCUAAACUCCGUGCCAGCAGCCGCGGUAA
rnacentral:rRNA from 1 species